UCAAGCAUUCAAAGAGAAGAAGCCAAGCCGACAAGCAAAGCAACUCGAACUUCUUCUCCAAACUUUAUUGAGUAUUUUUUUCUCUUUUAAACUUCUUUGUUAUUAUAUUUUUUUUUAAGUUCCUUGGGGCAAAAAAACUUGGGUUGGUCCAAACCUGGAGUUGGACAUUGUAUUUGGUUUGAUUGGUAAGCCAAGUGUAAAACCAAUCGAG
rnacentral:lncRNA from 1 species